AACGAACGCUGGCGGCAUGCCUAACACAUGCAAGUCGAACGAGACCUUCGGGUCUAGUGGCGCACGGGUGCGUAACGCGUGGGAAUCUGCCCUUGGGUUCGGAAUAACUCGCCGAAAGGCGUGCUAAUACCGGAUGAUGUCGUAAGACCAAAGAUUUAUCGCCCAGGGAUGAGCCCGCGUAAGAUUAGCUUGUUGGUGGGGUAGUGGCUUACCAAGGCUUUGACGGGUAGCCGGCCUGAGAGGGUGACCGGCCACAUUGGGACUGAGAUACGGCCCAG
rnacentral:rRNA from 1 species